rnacentral:rRNA from 1 species
AAACCAACUGGGAUUACCUUAGUAACGGCGAGUGAAGCGGUAAAAGCUCAAAUUUGAAAUCUGGUACUUUCAGUGCCCGAGUUGUAAUUUGUAGAAUUUGUCUUUGAUUAGGUCCUUGUCUAUGUUCCUUGGAACAGGACGUCAUAGAGGGUGAGAAUCCCGUUUGGCGAGGAUACCUUUUCUCUGUAAGACUUUUUCGAAGAGUCGAGUUGUUUGGGAAUGCAGCUCAAAGUGGGUGGUAAAUUCCAUCUAAAGCUAAAUAUUGGCGAGAGACCGAUAGCGAACAAGUACAGUGAUGGAAAGAUGAAAAGAACUUUGAAAAGAGAGUGAAAAAGUACGUGAAAUUGUUGAAAGGAAGGGCAUUUGAUCAGACAUGGUGUUUUUGCAUGCACUCGCCUCUCGUGGGCUUGGGCCUCUCAAAAAUUUCACUGGGCCAACAUCAAUUCUGGCAGUAGGAUAAAUCAUUAAGAAUGUAGCUACUCGGUAGUGUUAUAGCUUAUUGGAAUACUGCUAGCUA